CCAAGUCCCCCCCAAAUACCCCUUCAGUCACUGUCCAUCAGUGUAGUAAGAUGCUGUAGAAUCACUACUUGUCUUCUCUGUGUUGCACAGCCCUCCCCGUGCCCCCACACACACUAUGCAUGCUAAUCGCAUUACUUAGUGAUUUUAUGGAAAUGAAGGCAAGAGAAACAAACCCUAUGGAAUAAAUAUGAGUUUAUAAAGUAUGAACAUCUAUUUUUUCUCAUCCAAAUACUGUUGACCCAUUAGCUAGCUCUAAUAUAUACAAUAACUAAAUUCAGUUUUCUUUGGUAUUUUGCCAACUUCAUCAUUUAAAACCAGAUUUGUUUGGGGUUUUGUUGUUGUGAAGUUAACAAGGUAGACUUGAAUGUAUUUUACUAAAUAGCUUGUUGGCUUGAUUUACAACUUUUACAUAUAUAGAUACAUGGCACAUAGGUAUCUGAACUCUUGCCCUGGUAUUGUCUGCUUGCAGCUAGGGUGUGAACGUUUGAGACACACACAGGCACUCCUCAGCCUGGGGUGAGUUUGCCUGACAGGGAAAUUUGACAACAUCUAGAGAUCUUUUCCAUUGUCUCAAGCGGCGUCUAGCGGGGUUUGACCAAGAAUGUUGCUAAGGACACUACAAUGCCCAGGAUAGCCCCCCAACCCCCACCCCAACAAAGAAUGAUCUAACCGAAGAUGUCAAGUGUCAAGGUUACUCUACAAAGAGUGACAGAAACAUCAGAGUACUAGAAACAGUAGCGCAAAGAACUCAGGGGCACAUGAGGGCCAUGGGGUCACAGAGGGAGCUGCCGCAGUUCUUCACUGGAGUGGGCCACAAGAUAAUGGGAGACGCCAUCCCUAGUUGCAAAGCCUCCAGUUCUCUCAAUUACCUUAUAUCCUUCAUAAGUUAAACUAGCUAGAGAGGUUGCUGUUUUUUUCAACUGAGAACAGUGACUGACGAGGCAGGUAGGACCAAUGACUUGGCCCGUUUGACAGAAAAAAAGAUGAACCCCCCCAAGAGUCCCAGAGCAGAUCAGUAAGAGCUGAAGUAGAGCUGUUUAGCUAGCUUGCAAGUGACUAGAAUUUAGCUCAAACCAGUAAAACUAAUGCUUUUAUUGAUUUAACUAAAUUUAAAUUUAGCUCAAACCAGUAUUGUUUAAAAAGAGGAGACUGUUAUUCCUUGCUCAUGUAACACAAACUUGGGAAGGGCAGGGGUGCAGCUGUACCUCAGGAACAAGUGGAAGCCCAGACUCAAACGCCAUGAGGACCUGAUAUGUCUCAUCCAUCCAGCUCAGACAUUCCCUUGUUAUCACUCCAAGUUGCUUUUACCACAUGGUAGAAAUUAGGACAAUCAGUAGUAGCACUUUAGUAGGUUUUUAUCUUACUACUCCUACCAUUUUAAAGAGAGAAACCUCACACCUCCCAGAUUCAAACUAUGCUAAGGUAUUUUCCUGGUUUGAGGCAGGUGCUCCUCCCAGGGUCUGAACAUCUGUGUCCAAGGGCUGAGGGCUGGGGAUAUUAAGAACCUCACGGAUCCAUGGGGGGUCUGGGUGGGGAACAGAAAAAGCCACACUGAGAACAGAGGGUGCUGUAAUCUUCUGACAUCAACUCAAAAGGCAAAUCCCUUUGGUCAUUCUCUAUCCCAUGCUUUUCCUUUUUGUAACUUACCCUUUACUAAAUUUCAGAGACUGUGGUAAGCACUUGUAUCUGUGGGUUAGUAACAAACCUGAAUCAGCAGGUGAUUUCUUACUUUUACUUUUACACUCCCCUUACUGGACGGCUGGAUCUCUGCAGUCACCCUUACUCCGUCCAUGGCCUGGGCUACAAGAGCAGUCACUCUGCUGGUGCCCCUCAUGUGGGAGAAAGAAAAGAGGCACGUGGGAGGUCUCACAUGAGCCACUGAAUGCUCCAGCCUGGAAGUAACUUACCACUUCUACUCACACCUCAUUCAUUAGCCAGAAUUAGUCACAUGCAAAGUACAUGUGCCUGGCAGGGGGAGAAACAAUAUUUUGCAAACAUCUCCAGUUAUCACUGUAGCAUUUUACAUGCAUUGUAUUUAAUCUUCACCACUAUCAGAGGAAGUAUUACUAUUAUCCCUAUAGUAAUUAAGAAACUGACACACUGGCAGAGCAACUAGCCCAAGGUCACACAGCUAGAAAUUGACGAGGCCAGUAUGUAAGUCCAAAGUCCAUCCGCUUUGCCGUGGUUUUCCUGCCACCCUGGUUUGACCUUCUGUGUGCUCUUCAGCACUUCCAUUGCCCAUUAGGUCACAUAGAGACUAACAAAGAGGGCCCUGGGCCAGGACUGCGAUGCUGAACUGGAUCCUGCCCACAUCCCCCCUCUACUCCCUUGCUGUCCUGAGACUGGUUUGGGGGUCCAUGGAAUCCUGUGGACUCUGUAACACAGUAUAGCACAGAUGCCACAUGACACUUUAAAAUGCCUGCUCUCCUGUGGCCAUGAGGGUCAGAGGUGAUUUUUAAACAUGGUGAGACCCUCUGACAGACUGGAUGCUGGGAACGGAAAUGAGUAACAGGGCUCUGCUGCGGAGAGCUGACAGAGAUUAACAGAUUAACAGACUCCAGCAAGCGCAGGGACUAGAUAUUUGUGUACCCUUGUGCCCCCAAGUGCCUGGAUAUAGUAAACGUGCAAAAAAACACUAAUAAUGUUAAAGGCGGGCCAGAAAACAAGCUGUAGUUUAAAAGCAUUUCAACCUGACUUCACUUUUCUCACCUGAAAAACUGUGGUCAGUAACCGUAGCUGAUACAGAAUUACGAAGAUCGAAUUAAAUGGUACACAUAAAGCCUAGUUCCAUGCCAGGCAUACAGUAAACAUUUGACAAGCACUAAAAAUUCCUGUCCUAUUAAUGCAUUAGUAUUGUUAGGAAAAAGCAUUAACACAUGUUCCUUUCAGAGGAAGAUUUAUAGAAGAACUGACAUUAAAGCUGGCUUGGGAGAAGAGGAAAAGGCAUUCCAGGUGGAGUGAGCCAUAAGCAAAAGCUCAGACAGACGUGGGUCACAUAUAUGGGGUCCAUUUAGAACUUCAGAUUGGUAUAUUUUAGGAAGCAGUGGAAUAGAUUAGAAAGCCAAAUGAGAUCAGAUUUUGGUUCUCCCAGAGUUUUUAGGUGGGUCAGGAGCGGAAAGCAAACCUCCUUACUGGCGGUGAAGGAAAAAAGUCAUGUCUCAGCUGUUGACCUGACCCUGUGCCUCGCCGGGAGGAUGAAUGCAGUUAUCCUCUUCUAUCUAGCAGUUUCCACAUAGCCCAGGUACCUGGAGGGAAGGCAAACGGCCUGAGGACACAGAACACACUCACAGGGACAGAAUGCUUCUAUAGUGUGGAGGACAUUCUUGGCAGUGGUUCUGUGGCCUUUUGAGUAUCUUUCAUCAAGGGCUCUAUGUAACCUCUCUCCAGGAAAAUGCAUGGGUUAUCAGUUCUGUAUGUAUUUUCAGUUUGUCUGUGACAUCUGAUCCUAGGCUAAGAACCCAGGGUCUAGGUAGGUGCUGGGGCCUUUCAACAGUACACUCAAAAAGUGCUGCCUCCCUUCUCCACUCCAAUCCCCAAGUCUCUGACUGUCUGCAGUAGGAACAUGCUGCGAGGGAAGGCCGGGUUCACCCCCAGGAAAGCACAGCUUCCUUCUGAGCCAAGUCAUCUUGCAGUAACUGAACUGUCUCCAGACCCUCAAACUCGGGUCUAGCCCGUCAACCAGGUUGUUAGAACUGUGCUUACUGGGCCUCAGAAACAUGGACUAAGGAAUCUGCUUCCUCACUAGGAACAUUUGUUAAAUCCAUCAACUGGCCACCCAAUUAGUCCCACCCUUGACCACUUCAAAGAACACAGGAUCCCCAUCAAAUGGUGACAGCAAACAGGGCCAUAAUUCUGUCCUACUUUAGUAUUUGAAGUCAGUGCCUAACAAAAUGAUUCAAUCAACAUGUACCUACUGAGAUAAGGGGUCCCCUUUGUGCCAGGAAGGCCGGGGUCCAGAGCUACAACAGUAAACCAAACACAACACCUGUCCUGAUAGAGCUUACAAUCUUGGCAGUAAAAGAAAUGAUCAGUUCUAUUAAGAUGAUUCUUCUGGGCCCACCUCACCUGUGCCUGACAAAUAGAACUGUAUGUCAAGUGCUUAGUAUCUAUUUUAUACAAUCCCAUCUUUCAACUCUUGAGGUAGGGAUUCCAUUAUUCCCAUUAUACAGAUGAGGCAAUCAGGCUAUUAAGUGCUUAUAGCACACCAGUUGUGGUCUGUUGAACCCCUAAAACCCAUGUGAAUUACAGCCUUCCAGAGGCUCCAAAACCAGACACAACAUUCUACUCACUUCCUUCUAACAUUUUACCAAUUGGAACCCUUACUUGCCACACCUCUAGGGUGAGUCCUGGCAUCCCUAGCUAAUUCCCACUUCUUACAGUAGACCCUUUUCACUGAGUUACUACUGAAUGCUGGCCAUGCCCCAGGCCCUGAGCUUUUCACGCAUGCCUUCAGUUGACAGGCCCAGGAGGCAAGUUCUUCCUUUUCACAGAACAGGGAGGCUCACAGACGUUGUCACUUUUUGGAGCUCACCUGACAUCAGGUCAGCGCUGAUUCAACAUCCUACCCAGGCGGAGACCUGCCAGGCCCACAAUGAGGCCAUCAAGUAGCCCUAUAGGAUAGUUACAAAUCCAACGGAGACAGCGAGACUUGUUCUUCCCUAAGAAAUCAAACCUAAACAUCAUCAAACAGUUCUUCGCACCUAUUACAUCUAUCAAUGUCCCAUAAUCAGGCCUGCUAUCUGGAGGCCAUUUUUACUUUGGCACACAUGGCUAGAAGACAAAGUAGGUGCUGUCCUUUUUUUUACAGGGUUGUCAACUGCCCCUUUCACCCCACUCCCACACAUGGCAAUACAGCUGCUUACAGGUGCACAAUAAAACUACUAGGGCCCUCAUCCAUUCUCCUUGGCUAGACGCAGUCCUCCCAGGAAUCAAGAGUCUUGCCUGUGCUGUCCAAUAUGGAACACCAGCCACAUGUGACUAUUCAGUGACUACUGACAAUUUAGAUGUGCUUUAAGUGUAAACAAACAUACAAUAUACAUAAUACCAAAGACUUAUAAGGAGUAAAAUUCCAUUCAUUCCUCAUACAUAUUGAAAUUUUAACACUUUAAACAAAUGUUAUUAAAAAAUUGUUUCCUUUAGUGUAGUCCUCUUAAUCUGUGGCUCUUGUUACAUUUGCACUGGACAGCACUGCUCUUAGCAAGGAAAAGGAAAAGGAGAUGCCACCCUGCCCUCUUUGAUGAUUGACCUCUUUACAACCAUUUCCCAGGUGAAGUGGUCCAGCAACUUCUCCCCAAUUCCAGGAAUACACUUGGGACAGGUUUAUAGUAAAACUUUUUUUUAAAGAUAUCUUUUUAUAAACACAUACUACUAAAAUGCUCCUGACGUGCCAUCCAAAUUUACUGAGAUGAAUCUUAAUGAGCUGUGGGCUCUCACUGUGUGCAUCUUUAUGCACUUCAUAGUGAACUACAGCCCUAUAUUUUCAGGGCAGUUAACAGUGUAUGAAAUGUGUAUUGUCAAGCUAAAAGUAGGAAAGGCACCACUCCUUCCAGGUAAUAGGCUUCACCACCUGGACCCCAACACAGAUUCAACCAUCCAGGGCCACAUACCCACUCCUUCGUCAAGACUUUCUUGUUCACUUCAGGGGAACAGCAUUCACCAGUUAACACAAAGGCUGUGCACUGCUGGCAGACACUCUUGCUACUCUGCUGUAAAAUUCAAAACGACUGAGCGAAGCACCAGAGUCCAUUGAGGCAUUUUAUUUGCACGUGUGUACUACAUCCCUAGAAAAAGAAUCCCAGGAUUUUCCCUCCUGUGUGUUUUCGUCGUGCUUCUUCAUGGUCCAUGAUGCCAGCUGAGGUUGUCAGUACAAUGAAAC